rnacentral:rRNA from 1 species
CAGCCGCCGCGGUAAUACGUAGGGUGCGAGCGUUAAUCGGAUUUACUGGGCGUAAAGCGUGCGCAGGCGGCCCGUUAAGACAGGUGUGAAAUCCCUGGGCUCAACCUAGGAAUUGCGCUUGUGACUGGCGGGCUCGAGUACGGUAGAGGGGGGUGGAAUUCCUGGUGUAGCAGUGAAAUGCGUAGAGAUCAGGAGGAACACCGAUGGCGAAGGCAGCCCCCUGGGCCUGUACUGACGCUCAUGCACGAAAGCGUGGGGAGCAAACAGGAUUAGAUACCCUGGUAGUCCACGCCCUAAACGAUGGGUACUAGCCGUUUGGUGCGCGAUAGCGCUGAGUGGCGAAGCUAACGCGUGAAGUACCCCGCCUGGGGAGUACGGCCGCAAGGUUGAAACUUAAAGGAAUUAGGCGGG